GUGCUGUGAGCUCGAUGAGUAGGGCGGGACACGUGGUAUCCUGUCUGAAUAUGGGGGGACCAUCCUCCAAGGCUAAAUACUCCUGACUGACCGAUAGUGAACCAGUACCGUGAGGGAAAGGCGAAAAGAACCCCGGCGAGGGGAGUGAAAAAGAACCUGAAACCGUGUACGUACAAGCAGUGGGAGCCCCACCACUAAGCCAGUGGUGAACUCCACAUACGCAUCCUUUGCUGAGGAUACGGUUAACGGAGCGAAAGCGACGUUCAACCUCAAAAGAAGCAGAGGGGGCUUAGUGGUGGGGUGACUGCGUACCUUUUGUAUAAUGGGUCAGCGACUUAUAUUCUGUAGCAAGGUUAACCGUAUAGGGGAGCCGCAGGGAAACCGAGUCUUAACCGGGCGUUAAGUUGCAGGGUAUAGACCCGAAACCCGGUGAUCUAGCCAUGGGCAGGUUGAAGGUUGGGUAACACUAACUGGAGGACCGAACCGACUAAUGUUGAAAAAUUAGCGGAUGACCUGUGGCUGGGGGUGAAAGGCCAAUCAAACCGGGAGAUAGCUGGUUCUCCCCGAAAGCUAUUUAGGUAGCGCCUCGUGAACUCAUCUCCGGGGGUAGAGCACUGUUUCGGCUAGGGGGCCAUCCCGGCUUACCAACCCGAUGCAAACUGCGAAUACCGGAGAAUGUUAUCACGGGAGACACACGGCGGGUGCUAACGUCCGUCGUGAAGAGGGAAACAACCCAGACCGCCAGCUAAGGUCCCAAAGUCAUGGUUAAGUGGGAAACGAUGUGGGAAGGCCCAGACAGCCAGGAUGUUGGCUUAGAAGCAGCCAUCAUUUAAAGAAAGCGUAAUAGCUCACUGGUCGAGUCGGCCUGCGCGGAAGAUGUAACGGGGCUAAACCAUGCACCGAAGCUGCGGCAGCGAACGUAUCACCCAAGACAACUUUACGGAGUUAACGAUUGACGGAGCGAAGCGACGUCAAAGCGUUCAUUAAAGUCGAGUUGGCUUAGGGAUACGUU
rnacentral:rRNA from 1 species